AUUUUCAUUUUAGGAAUGAUUUCUCCUGUGCUUGCCAUCCCGCUUCCCAUCUCCACCCUACUCCAGAGCCAGGGCUUCUCAGGAGGAUUGUCCUCUUCAUCCCUCCCUGACAAGUUUGCAGUGGUCACCCUGGGAAGGUGCCGCGGGGAGGCUGCGACUCAACGCUGACCUGUGCGACCCCCUCUGCUGUAUCACCUGCAUUCAGGAAGCAAAGAGCAGCAUAAGCUGAGGUGCCUCAGGCCUGCACCCCUCAAUUUUCAGCCCCUGAUGAGUGCAAAUUAGCUCAGACCUUCCCAGGACAGGAGAAGGGCCCACACACAGCAGCAGGAUCAGGAUCAGAAGAGGCUUUCACACACAUCCAGCUCACCCGCGUCUUCCUUUGGGUGGCUUAGCUGGAGCCGAGGAUCUGAACAAGAUGCUCUGCACUUCAAACACUCCUUAGAUCUAAACCAUUAUUUAUUUGAAUGA